GGAAUAUAGCUCAGCAGUACAGCACCUGCCUGGCAAGCGUGAGGUUCUGAGUUCAAUUCCCAGUACCA
rnacentral:tRNA from 1 species